GUGGGGAAUCUUCCGCAAUGGACGAAAGUCUGACGGAGCAACGCCGCGUGAGUGAUGAAGGUCUUCGGAUUGUAAAGCUCUGUUAAUCGGGACGAAAGAGCCUAGUGUGAAUAAUGCUAGGAAGUGACGGUACCGGAAUAGAAAGCCACGGCUAACUACGUGCCAGCAGCCGCGGUAAUACGUAGGUGGCAAGCGUUGUCCGGAAUUAUUGGGCGUAAAGCGCGCGCAGGCGGAUCUGCCAGUCUGUCUUAAAAGUUCGGGGCUUAACCCCGUGAUGGGAUGGAAACUACAGAUCUAGAGUAUCGGAGAGGAAAGUGGAAGUCCUAGUGUAGCGGUGAAAUGCGUAGAUAUUAGGAAGAACACCAGUGGCGAAGGCGACUUUCUGGACGAAAACUGACGCUGAGGCGCGAAAGCCAGGGGAGCGAACGGGAUUAGAUACCCUGGUAGUCC
rnacentral:rRNA from 1 species